AGUGAACGCUGGCGGUAGGCCUAACACAUGCAAGUCGAACGGCAGCACAGUAAGAGCUUGCUCUUACGGGUGGCGAGUGGCGGACGAGUGAGGAAUACAUCGGAAUCUACUUUUUCGUGGGGGAUAACGUAGGGAAACUUACGCUAAUACCGCAUACGACCUACGGGUGAAAGCAGGGGAUCUUCGGACCUUGCGCGAUUGAAUGAGCCGAUGUCGGAUUAGCUAGUUGGCGGGGUAAAGGCCCACCAAGGCGACGAUCCGUAGCUGGUCUGAGAGGAUGAUCGGCCACACUGGAACUGAGACACGGUCCAGACUCCUACGGGAGGCAGCAGUGGGGAAUAUUGGACAAUGGGCGCAAGCCUGAUCCAGCCAUACCGCGUGGGUGAAGAAGGCCUUCGGGUUGUAAAGCCCUUUUGUGGGGAAAGAAAAGCAGCAGGUUAAUACCCAGCUGUUCUGACGGUACCCAAAGAAUAAGCACCGGCUAACUUCGUG
rnacentral:rRNA from 1 species